CAUAAGAUUCUUUUCAAUUGUGAAUAAUGUCAAGAUUCUAAAUAGGAAAAACAUUUAGAUUCUGAGAGAGUAAAUUCAAAUAAGAAAAAUCAGACUAGAUCAAAGAAAAUAAAAUUACUCACAAUUUUUUUUAAAUCAGAUCAAACUAAACAAAAAACUAGAGACCAGCCUAGAUAAAGAGCAUAAAGCCUUGGUCCGCCCCAAUCCAGUUACUCCGCUUCAUGGCAGACCGCUGUAUCCGGCCAUUACCGGGAGCCACGGAGUAAAAUUCAAUUUACACUAACAAAAGCCCCUGAAAUUGGAAAUUGAAAAAACUGGGAAACAUCGAUUAUUCAGUAAUCACCAAUCCAAAAAACCCUCAACACAAUUUACAACUCCACAAUCCACCCACAAACACAACAACAAUGGAUUCAAAAGCAGCACGAAAUGCAAAGGAGUGUUUAGACCUAGUAUUUGAGAUGUCAAACAUCUUGAACACUCAACUUGAUCGUCACACAAUCUCUCUCCUAAUCGCCCUUUCUGAAUUGGGUUUCAACCCCGAAGCGCUUGCUGCUCUUGUCAAGGAGCUUCCUGCUGGAACUGUUUCAUCUUCUUAACAAGCUGCAGCAGCUGCUGUUGGGGUUGGGAGGUGAAGAAGAUCUAGCAGAAGAGUUAAAAAAAUGGAGGAGAGAGAAAGUCUUAAUUGCUACUCCAAGGAACCCCUGAGCCUGGCAGUUGUAGUUGUACUGGCCCUCAUCUUUAUUGUCUUUCUCUUCAGUCUUCACAUUAAUUCCUCUCUGACAAUUACUCUGUUUUAGCUUCUUAAGCUAAUGAGUGAGUGCUCAUAAUCGUUAUGAACCCGACAUUUCUCGUAUUACUCGUAAGUUAAUAGUUUUUCGUUUGA